rnacentral:misc_RNA from 1 species
CUGCUGGCGGAAUGCUCGAGCUGCUCGCGCGGCGAGAGCGGGCCGCCGCGUGCCGGCCGGGGGACGGACCGGGAACGGCCCCCUCGGGGGCCUUCCCCGGGCGUCGAACAACCGACUCAGAACUGAAUCCAAGCUAGCAACCGGCGCCUCUGCUCGCCGCCCGCCCCGACCCACGUUAGGGCGUUCGCGCCCCAAGGGCCCGUGCCAUUGGCUCAGCCCGCCCGGCCGACGCGCCGCGGCGGGCCGCCUCGAAGCUCCCUUCCCAACGGGCGGCGUGCUGAAUCCUUUGCAGACGACUUAAAACGCGACGGGGCAUUAAUCCAAGCUAGCAACCGGCGCCUCUGCUCGCCGCCCGCCCCGACCCACGUUAGGGCGUUCGCGCCCCAAGGGCCCGUGCCAUUGGCUCAGCCCGCCCGGCCGACGUGCCGCGGCGGGCCGCCUCGAAGCUCCCUUCCCAACGGGCGGCGUGCUGAAUCCUUUGCAGACGACUUAAAACGCGACGGGGCAUUGUAA